GAUAAAGGCUGCUCAAGCCAAACCCCGUGAUGAUAAAGAUAACGAUGUUGAAGUAGGUGAUCCAGUUGCACCUUCCGUGCCAGCUCCACCACAAGACACUCAGUUUUCGGUCGAGACUUCAGCUAUCCUAAGCGCAAUUGAGUCAUUGUGAGAUAACAUUGGCUCAUUAAGUGAUGUGGUUAGUGGCAUAGAUGCUAGGAUGACCAUGAUGGAGGAACGCAGCUUAUCUUAUAUCUCAAUUUCCUCCACCGCGGCCUUCUCAAGAUAGUUAGAACUCAUCUUGCAUAUCAUGCAUUUUCAUGGUUUAAUUGUAUAUUUUACAUUGUUUUCUUUUCCUAUUUUUAUGUUCGUUACUUGUUUGUUUCACUUAAAUGUUAACUUCCUAUUUUGGGAUACUUUGGAAUUUAAUGUUAAUUAUUUGUUCUUCAUUUCUUUAUGUUUUGGAGUAACCAUUUUCUUCCCCUUUAAGUUUUAUUUUUAUUUGUUUUGAUAUUAAAAAAAGAAAAAAAAAGGUAAACUGAUUGGUAAUUCAUCUCUGCAAUUUUGUGACCAUAUUUCUAAAACAAAAUUGCCUUUAAUUGAAAUUGAUUUUUAAAAAGGGAGAGCAUUUUAUUCAAAAAUAAAUUUAUCAAAACGUUUUGUUAUAUCAAAAAGGGAGAGAUUGUUAAGUUAAGACUCUGUUUUGUAACCUGUAAAAAUUUUGCCGUAAAAGCUUUUCAAGCUUUUCUGAUGUUUGGUUUGCUGAAAAUGAUUUUUUACUGUAAAAUAUUUUACAAAAGAUGGGAAAAGGAGGUCUUUUUUUAGGAAAAUGUCCCUUUUGAAUUCGGUAAGACAUUUUCCGGAAAAUUCUUCGCUGGGUCUUGGCUUCCAUCUUUAAGAACUCAAAGCUAGCAAUCCUCAAAGCAUUCUUCUCCACCUAGGCUAUAAAAUAGAACCCUCCGUUUCCAUCUUUCAAAGCCACGAAAUCCGCCAUAAUAACUGAGAAGAACCUUGAAAAGCUAGGGGAAAUCUUUGAAUAAUGUUCCCAUUUGCCCACUUUCCUUCGUCACCGCCUCAUCUACCACCUCUCCAUUCGCAAGCUAGCCCGUGCCAACCGCCUCGACCUCGUCGACAGACUCCUCGAGACCCAAAAGCUCCAUUCUCAAGACACCCCUGCGCUCAAAUCUAAAAGUUUUUGGAUUCGUCUCAUUAUGCUUUACUCAAACGCUGGGAUGGUUCCACAAGCACUCCAAAUGCUCAACGAUUUGUCUAGAAACAGCUUUCCUUCUUAGUAGAUGCUUUGCCAAUGAGUUGUUCCCUAGUGCAACGCAAUGGUGCAAAUGAGUCCUGCCAUGGAAGUCGCGCAUAUUUAUAUCAGCACCAAACUGCAGCAGCAGCUCAAGCAUCACACAGUUCCCACCUUGGCAUGCCUGAUGCAACAAUGAACAACCUUGUAGACAGUUCCCCGGGUCAUUAGAAUCCUUGAUUCUCUGACAGUCCAAUGGAUCAUGCUGUUCCUUUUCCUCUUUCUGGCUUUCAGGAGACGAGUCUUGUGCAUCAACAACAUUAUGUGGUGUACUAUUAGUUAUGCUCUUGGACAAUGUUGUUGUUAUUAUGUGGUGUACUAUUAAUUAUGCAUUUGGAAUAAUAUUAUUAAUUUUUAGUAUUAAUUGUGGUUUGGAAGCUAAUUUGUAAUUAUUCAAUCCUUGUUUUUGUUUUUUAUAACACAAUUACAAAUAAUUUAUUUGACUUUGGUUGUUUUUAA